rnacentral:rRNA from 1 species
AUGAACGCUAGCGGCAGGCCUAAUACAUGCAAGUCGGACGGGAUUCAGGAGCUUGCUUCUGAUGAGAGUGGCGCACGGGUGCGUAACACGUAUGUAACCUACCUUUAUCAGGGGGAUAGCCUCUCGAAAGAGAGAUUAAGCCCGCAUAAAAUCACAGCACAGCAUUGUGUAAUGAUCAAAUAUUUAUAGGAUAAAGAUGGGCAUGCGGAACAUUAGCUAGAUGGCGGGGUAACGGCCCACCAUGGCGACGAUGUUUAGGGGAUCUGAGAGGAUGGCCCCCCACAAUGGAAAGGGAAGCAGGACCGGACCUGCGCGAGAGGGAGCAAGAAAGGAAAUUGGAGAAAGGGGGGAAGCCUGGACCGGCCAAGUCGCGUGGAGGAAGGCGGCCCUACGGGUUGUAAAAUUGUUUUAAACGGGAAAAAACCCAGAAAAGGGUAUCCGGCUUAAAUUAAGAUAAGAAAAAGGAUGGGGAAACCCCG